GACGAACGCUGGCGGCGUGCUUAACACAUGCAAGUCGAACGAGAGCGGAGAGAAUGCUUGCUUUUUCUACAAUCUAGUGGCGAACGGGUGAGUAACGCGUAAACAACCUGCCCUACGGACGGGGACAACAGCGGGCAACUACCGCUAAUGCCCAGAACGUUCCGAAAGUGGCAUUACUGACGUAAGGAAGUCAGGCCUCUCUAUAUAAGCUAUCGCCGGUGGUGGGGUUUUCGCCUGGUUAGCCAGUUGGGGGGGUAACGGCCCACCAAGGCGACGGUCAGGAACCGGUCUUAGAGGAUUGACCGCCACAAUGGAACUGGGAAAACGUCCAGACUUCUACGGGGAGCAGCAGUGGGGGAACUUCGGAAAUGGGCGGAAGGCCGACGGAGGAACGGCGGGUGGGUGAAGACGGCCUUCCGGUUGUAAAGCUCUGUUAAGCGGGGCGAAUAAUCUGGUGGUUAAUACCCAGGAGAAGUGACGGUACCGUAAGAGAAAGCCACGGCUAACUACGUG
rnacentral:rRNA from 1 species